CCAUCAGAGGCUGACUUCACCUCUGACUUAUUAUAUAAUGUUCCCACGUGCUAUCUAAUUGUGGUCAUUUUUUAUGUAUUAAAGAAGAGCUUAUUGGGGUAGAAUACCUCUACCAACAAACCGGAAAGGUUCUGCAGGACUGCAAAUUAGCAAUCAAGGAAUCAGAGACAGCUGAUGUGGUUUUGGAGGUGGAGGAGUGUCAGGACAUCACUGUCCCUACAUUUGGAACAGAGCGGACACCUGCCAGUGAUGACACCUACUCCGACUCCAGCAACCAGCUCUGUCCCAUCAGUGUCUGUGAUUCCUCCAGCACCAUGGCCAUCUCCUGAGAGCACUUAUGUCCUGGCUCAGUGAUGCCAGAUGACUUGGACCAGGUAACAACAGUUUCUUCAACACCGGUCAACUCCACUACACAUGAUGAUUCUGUUGGACCUGACAAUAUCCAGGGGUAUGGAGCAGUUCAGGACCUUGCUGAUUUUUUGCUUGGCGUCAAAGACCACUGUCUGGCUCUGAGUGGAGAUGAGUGUGCCCAGGUUAUUACCCUGUGGUAGGCAUUAGGGGAAUAUGACAAAUCAGAAUUACUUAAUUUAUCCUUGGGGGGAAAUUCAGUCAUUAAAGUUGCUCCUAUACACAAUAAGUAUGAAUAUCAAAUAAGACUAA